rnacentral:rRNA from 1 species
UACGGAGGGGGCUAGCGUUGUUCGGAAUUACUGGGCGUAAAGCGCACGUAGGCGGCUUUGUAAGUUAGAGGUGAAAGCCCAGGGCUUAACCCUGGAAUUGCCUUUAAGACUGCAUCGCUAGAAUUGUGGAGAGGUGAAGUGGAAUUCCGAGUGUAGAGGUGAAAUUCGUAGAUAUUCGGAAGAACACCAGUGGCGAAGGCGACUUACUGGACACAUAUUGACGCUGAGGUGCGAAAGCGUGGGGAGCAAAGCAAG